GAUGAAGAACGUAGCGAAAUGCGAUAAGUAAUGUGAAUUGCAGAAUUCAGUGAAUCAUCGAAUCUUUGAACGCACCUUGCACCCUUUGGUAUUCCGAAGGGUAUGCUCGUUUGAGUGUCAUUGUACUCUCACACUUCUAAUUCCUUUCGGGAUUGGGAGCGGUGGACUUGGGUGUUGCUGCUUUAGUUGUGGCUCACCUCAAAUAAGUUAGUGCAACUCUUGGUUGGACAUAGUACGGCGUGAUAAGUGUCUUCGCCGGCGCCUCUGUAAGGAGGGUGGCCGAUCGGGAGCUCUGUGCUUCAAACCGUCUUCGGACAAUCUUUGACAACUUGACCUCAAAUCGAGUAGGACUACCCGCUGAACUUAAGCAUAUCAAUAGCGGAGGA
rnacentral:misc_RNA from 1 species